AGGGCGCGUAGGCGGUGCGGUAAGUCACCUGUGAAAUCCCCGGGCUUAACUCGGGGCCUGCAGGCGAAACUGCCGUGCUGGAGUAUGGGAGAGGUGCGUGGAAUUCCCGGUGUAGCGGUGAAGCGCGUAGAUAUCGGGAGGAACACCUGUGGCGAAAGCGGCGCACUGGACCAUAACUGACGCUGAGGCGCGAAAGCUAGGGGAGCAAACAGGAUUAGAUACCCUGGUAGUCCUAGCCCUAAACGAUGAUUGCUUGGUGUGAUCGGUACCCAAUCCGAUUGUGCCGAAGCUAACGCGAUAAGCAAUCCGCCUGGGGAGUACGGUCGCAAGGCUGAAACUCAAAGGAAUUGA
rnacentral:rRNA from 1 species